GACCAGACUCCUACGGGAGGCAGCAGUGGGGAAUAUUGCACAAUGGGGGAAACCCUGAUGCAGCGACGCCGCGUGGGUGACGAAGUAUUUCGGUAUGUAAAGCCCUAUCAGCAGGGAAGAAGAUGACAGUACCUGACUAAGAAGCCCCGGUUAACUACGUGCCAGCAGCCGCGGUAAUACGUGGGGGGCAAGCGUUAUCCGGAUUUACUGGGUGUAAAGGGAGCGUAGGUGGCAUGGCAAGCCAGAAGUGAAACCCCGGGGCUUAACCCCGCGGAUUGCUUUUGGAACUGUCAGGCUGGGGUGCAGGAGGGGCAGGCGGAAUUCCUGGUGUAGCGGUGAAAUGCGUAGAUAUCAGGAGGAACACCGGUGGCGAAGGCGGCCUGCUGGACUGUAACUGACACUGAGGCUCGAAAGCGUGGGGAGCAAACAGGAUUAGAUACCCGCGUAGC
rnacentral:rRNA from 1 species